GAGACUCUGUGCGCGUGCAUAUCAAUAAGCGGAGGAAAAGAAACUAACAAGGAUUCCCUUAGUAACGGCGAGUGAAGCGGGAAGAGCUCAAAUUUGAAAUCUUCAAGGUUCUACCUUGACGAAUUGUAGUUCUAAAGAAGUGUUUUCUGUUAGAUGAGUAGCAAAAGUUCCUUGGAAUGGGACAUCAUAGAGGGUGAGAAUCCCGUAUUUGGUUAUUCAUUCUAGCUUUGUGAUACACUUUCAAAGAGUCGGAUUGUUUGGGAAUGCAGUCCAAAAUGGGUGGUAAAUUUCAUCUAAAGCUAAAUAUUGGCGAGAGACCGAUAGCGAACAAGUACCGUGAGGGAAAGAUGAAAAGAACUUUGAAAAGAGAGUUAAACAGUACGUGAAAUUGUCAAAAGGGAAGCGUUUGACACCAGUGUUGUUUUUCCGAAAAUCAAUUACGAAUGGCUUGAUUUUGUGUUGUAUUGACCUUAUCAGCUUUCUUCACUUUUUUCGAGUCUUUCUUAAUGCACUUUUCGGUUAACAAGUCAACAUCAAUUUCUUUUGUUGUAAAAGAGUAUUCGGAAGGUGGCUUUCUCUUCGGAGAAAGUGUUUAUAGCCCUAUACUUCUACAAUCGGAGAGAUUGAGGUCUGCAGCGUAGAUCCUUCGGGGUUAGAUACACUUGUGCUAAGUUGUAGCUUUUCAUAGACAACUUGUUGACUAUGUUUAGUCAUGCGGCUUACUCGCUUGUGCUAUUUUACCUACGCUUAGGAUGUUGACUGAUAUGUAGUCGUA
rnacentral:rRNA from 1 species